rnacentral:tRNA from 1 species
UAAGAGCUAGUUUAAUAAAGAACUGUUGACUGUUAAUCAAAAGGUUAGUCUCUUAA